GACGAACGCUGGCGGCGUGCUUAACACAUGCAAGUCGAACGGAAAGGCCCUGCUUGCAGGGUACUCGAGUGGCGAACGGGUGAGUAACACGUGGGUGAUCUGCCCUGCACUUCGGGAUAAGCCUGGGAAACUGGGUCUAAUACCGGAUAGGAGCCAUUUUGAGUGUGAUGGUUGGAAAGUUUUUUCGGUGUAGGAUGAGCUCGCGGCCUAUCGGCUUGUUGGUGGGGUAAUGGCCUACCAAGGCGGCGACGGGUAGCCGGCCUGGGAGGGUGGACGGCCACAUUGGGACUGAGGGACGGCCCAGACUCCUACGGGAGGCAGCAGUGGGGAAUAUUGCACAAUGGGCGCCAGCCUGAUGCAGCGACGCCGCGUGGGGGAUGACGGCCUUCGGGUUGUAAACUCCUUUCGCUAGGGACGAAGCUUUUUGUGACGGUACCUAGAUAAGAAGCACCGGCUAACUACGUG
rnacentral:rRNA from 1 species